rnacentral:tRNA from 1 species
GGCUCUGUGGCGCAAUGGAUAGCGCAUUGGACUUCUAGCUGUGUGAAGGCAUUCAAAGGUUGUGGGUUCGAGUCCCACCAGAGUCG